rnacentral:lncRNA from 1 species
GGUGUCUGGCCAAUAGAUUCUGAAGGAGAGACAACUGAGGAGUAUAUGCAUUAUUUACACUAGUAGUUGAAAUGGCAUUUACAAAAGCUAUAGGGUUAGUUUUCAAGAUGGCUUUGAUGGCAGAGAAAGCAUACAAAGUCCUGGAUGAAUCAUACAACUGGAGAUACAGGAGCACAUGUUGAUAGAGAGGAUGAAUGUUGAAAUUGGGAGAUUUUCGAGAUCCUGGAGAACCCAUGUCACUCUCAAUUUCAGAAAUGUCUCCCUCUCCACAGCUAUACCAGUUCUCUAAAUCCAGACCAUCACUGAAGAAUACACUGGUUUGUUUGAGUUUUUCAUUUGAAGAUUUUUUCUUGUCAUCAUCCUUUUUUCUGGCAAGUUUUACUUUAGGUUUUGCUCCUGGUUGUUUACCUGACUCCUUAACUAUUGUUUCCUUCUCCGAAACUUUUUCUGAUAAUUUUUCUUUGAAGCUGAAUUGAAUACUACUGUGACUCCUUUGUCUAGAUUUGGUUUCUAUGGAAGCAACAGAAGAGUCAUGAAGAGUGUGUGUGGUUCCUGAAAUACAAGGUGAGGAGCUAUUCCUGGAGAUUCCAUUUGCCACACACUCAUGGCCUCCCUCUGCAGACACAGACAGAAACUGAGAACUUUCAUUACUCAGCAAAGCAUUCUGACUCUGUUGAAUGGAGUCAUCUUCAAUUUUAAUCGUCUCUUCAUCUGGAUCUAUAUCACUGCACUUUGGGGGCAUAGCUUCAAUUUCUAAUUGAGAUGUAACUGAUGCAGAUUCCACUUCGAGGCCACUUACAACUUUACAUAUCAGGUCAAAUACUACCUGUUGAACAUCAUCAUCUGGGGAGCUUUCCUUGGGCAUUUGAGAAUCCUCUUGGGCAUUCACGGUUUCAGGAUCAACUUCGUAACUCAAGUUGUCCCCAGCAGAGGACUGUGAACAUCCCGAGUCAGAACUCUGAAGUAUUUCUAUCUGUUGGUCUGGAAGAUCAAAAUCAGACACAACCAUUGGAAUUGUCUCACUGCUGGUACUUAGGAGGGAAAGUCUGUCACUUAAUGGAUUCACAGUGAGACUAAAGUUCUCUAUUUCAUCCAUGAACGUAACUCUGAUGUAUGGUUCCCCUCAGCAAUGUAAACUGGGAAACUUGAGCACUCUAGGAAGAGCUGACAGGCAGCAAGGAAGGCAGACAGUGAAUAGUUACUGAACUCCUAUCAUGUGCCAGACACUGUAUUAGGUAGUAGAAAUAAAAGGAAUAUUUUAUAAUCUAGAGGGGAAGAUGAGAGAAUUACAGUAAACAAACAAAUGAACCAUUCCUGGAGUAGAACUGGAGUAUAUUAGCCUUUUACUCCCUACAAUAGGAUAGAUGCUAGCAGAUAACAGUGGAGGCUGAACCUUGCUAAGGAUCUUUGAGCAGAGUCUGAGAGAAUCUGUGAGUUCAGAUAAGUGCAAUGUCUGGAGAUGGCUUGUCAAGGCAGAAAUCAUUCUGAGCAGCAACUGGGGCAAGUGUUCUGUCUGGAUUUCAAUGAAUUUUCUUGUUAUAAAAAUUCUUGGGAAGUUUGUAAGUCUUGUCUCCACCCCUUCAACUGUGAAUUCAAUUAAGGCAAGACCUCGUCUUACACUUUUUCACUACCUCUAGUGGUCAGUAAGUAACCAAAGAAUAAUAAAAGUAUUCAUUACCUGGA